rnacentral:rRNA from 1 species
UACGAAGGGGGCUAGCGUUGUUCGGAAUCACUGGGCGUAAAGCGCACGUAGGCGGAUGAUUAAGUCAGGGGUGAAAUGCCAAGGCUCAACCUUGGAACUGCCUUUGAUACUGGCUGUCUUGAGUACGGGAGAGGUGAGUGGAACUCCGAGUGUAGAGGUGAAAUUCGUAGAUAUUCGGAAGAACACCAGUGGCGAAGGCGACUCACUGGCCCGUUACUGACGCUGAGGCGCGAAAGCGUGGGGAGCAAACAGG